rnacentral:rRNA from 1 species
CGGGUGGGGGAGCUUACCAUGCAGUCGAGCGGCAGCGCGAGAGAGCUUGCUCUCUUGGCGGCGAGUGGCGGACGGGUGAGUAAUAUAUCGGAACGUGCCCAGUAGCGGGGGAUAACUACUCGAAAGAGUGGCUAAUACCGCAUACGCCCUACGGGGGAAAGGGGGGGAUCGCGAGACCUCUCACUAUUGGAGCGGCCGAUAUCGGAUUAGCUAGUUGGUGGGGUAAAGGCUCACCAAGGCAACGAUCCGUAGCUGGUUUGAGAGGACGACCAGCCACACUGGGACUGAGACACGGCCCAAACUCCUACGGGAGGCAGCAGGGGGGAAUUUUGGACAAUGGGGGAAACCCUGAUCCAGCCAUCCCGCGUGUAUGAUGAAGGCCUUCGGGUUGUAAAGUACUUUUGGCAGAGAAGAAAAGGUAUCCCCUAAUACGGGAUACUGCUGACGGUAUCUGCAGAAUAAGCACCGGCUAACUACGUGCCAGCAGCCGCGGUAAUACGUAGGGUGCAAGCGUUAAUCGGAAUUACUGGGCGUAACGCGUGUGUAGGCGGUUCGGAGAGAAAGAUGUGAAAUCCCAGGGCUCAACCUUGGAACUGCAUUUUUAACUGCCGAGCUAGAGUAUGUCAGAGGGGGGGUAGAAUUCCACGUGUAGCAGUGAAAUGCGUAGAUAUGUGGAGGAAUACCGAUGGCGAAGGCAGCCCCCCUGAGAUAAUACUGACGCUCAGACACGAAAAGCGUGGGGAGCAAACAGGAUUAGAUACCCGUGGGUAGUCCACGUCUCUAAACGAUGUCAAACUAGCUGUUGGGGGCCGCUUAGGAUCCUUAGUAGCGCAGCUCAACGCGUGAAAGCUUGCACCGCCCUGGGGGAGUAACAGUCGCAAGAGUCAAAACUCACAUGUAAUUGACGGGGACCCCGCACAAGCGCUUGGGAUGACUGUCGCAUUUAAUUCGAUGCUACGCGUAAAAUCUAGCCUACCCUUUGACAUGUCUAGCAAGUCCUAAAAGAUUGGUCCGAUGCCUCGCAGUAAUCUCUGUAACAACAUGGUGCUGCAUGCUGCGUCAGCUCAGGUCGGAAAUGUAGUUUAGUCCAGUCAC